rnacentral:rRNA from 1 species
UACGUAGGCAGCAAGCGUUGUUCGGAGUUACUGGGCGUAAAGGGUGUGUAGGCGGUGUUCCCAGUCUGUUGUGAAAUCUCCCGGCUUAACUGGGAGGGUGCAGCGGAAACUAGAAUGCUAGAGGGUGGGAGAGGUAAGCGGAAUUCCUGGUGUAGCGGUGAAAUGCGUAGAUAUCAGGAGGAACACCUGUGGUGUAGACAGCUUACUGGACCACUUCUGACGCUGAGACACGAAAGCGUGGGUAGCAAACAGG